GAUGAACGCUGGCGGCGUGCCUAAUACAUGCAAGUCGAGCGAACAGACGAGGAGCUUGCUCCUCUGACGUUAGCGGCGGACGGGUGAGUAACACGUGGAUAACCUACCUAUAAGACUGGGAUAACUUCGGGAAACCGGAGCUAAUACCGGAGAAUAUAUUGAACCGCAUGGUUCAAUAGUGAACGACGGUUUUGCUGUCACUUAUAGAUGGAUCCGCGCCGCAUUAGCUAGUUGGUCAGGUAACGGCUUACCAAGGCAACGAUGCGUAGCCGACCUGAGAGGGCGAUCGGCCACACUGGAACUGAGACACGGUCCAGACUCCUACGGGAGGCAGCAGUAGGGAAUCUUCCGCAAUGGGCGAAAGCCUGACGGAGCAACGCCGCGUGAGUGAUGAAGGUCUUCGGAUCGUAAAACUCUGUUAUUAGGGAAGAACAAAUGUGUAAGUAACUAUGCACGUCUUGACGGUACCUAAUCAGAAAGCCACGGCUAACUACGUG
rnacentral:rRNA from 1 species